rnacentral:rRNA from 1 species
UACGUAGGGUGCAAGCGUUGUCCGGAAUUAUUGGGCGUAAAGCGCGCGCAGGCGGUUUCUUAAGUCUGAUGUGAAAGCCCACGGCUCAACCGUGGAGGGUCAUUGGAAACUGGGGAACUUGAGUGCAGAAGAGAAGAGCGGAAUUCCACGUGUAGCGGUGAAAUGCGUAGAGAUGUGGAGGAACACCAGUGGCGAAGGCGGCUCUUUGGUCUGUAACUGACGCUGAGGCGCGAAAGCGUGGGGAGCAAACAGG